CACGUUUACUUAAGUGCAGCUAAACAACAACUGUAAAAUACAACAUACUGCAGCUGGAAAGGGAUUGUCUGAGACUUUGGUGUAGUCUUCCAGCCUGCCUCUGUGGUCAAGACUCUGCAUCAUAUUGUUUGCUUUUAUUCCUUCCAUUAUUGUAAACUGUUGGCUUUCUGCUUUCGGG